AGCCAACUCCAGGAUGCAUUAAUAAAAUGACAGUAUCCCCAGAGAAGACUAGCAUGGCCCCUGUGCAAGGAUGACAUGCAAACUCAUGAAGCAUUCCAUAUUUUU